ACAUGCUCCUGAUGACGUGUAUGCUCCACGGUAACAUCCCAAGAUCCAUUGGGGAUAUGACUUCCCUUGUUGAUCUCGAACUAAGUGGAAAUUUCCUCUCCGGCGAGAUUCCAAAAGAAAUCGGGAAUCUUUCCAACCUGAGGCAGCUUGAGUUGUACUAUAACUAUCACUUAACCGGCAGUAUACCUGACGAAAUCGGUAAUCUCAAAAAUCUCACGGACUUGGAUAUUUCCGUCAGCAAGUUAACCGGAAGAAUACCGGAAUCAAUAUGCAGUCUUCCAAAACUCCGAGUGCUUCAGCUUUACAACAACAGCUUAACCGGUGAGAUUCCCAAGUCGCUUGGUAACUCAAGAACCUUAAAGAUCUUGUCUCUCUACGACAACUACUUGACCGGUGAGCUCCCGCCAAAUCUCGGGUCUUCCUCGCCUAUGAUCGCUCUUGAUGUUUCGGAAAAUCGCCUCUCUGGUCCACUUCCGAGCCAAGUUUGCAAAUCCGGUAAGCUUUUGUACUUUCUUGUACUACAAAACCGGUUCUCUGGCUCGAUCCCUGCGACUUAUGGGAGGUGCAAGACUCUUAUCCGGUUCCGUGUUGCGAGCAACCGCCUCGUGGGAACUAUACCCCAAGAAGUCACGUCUCUACCUCAUGUCUCCAUCAUCGACUUGGCUUACAACUUCUUAUCGGGUCCAAUACCUAAUUCCAUCGGAAACGCUUGGAAUUUGUCAGAGCUGUUUAUGCAGGGUAAUAAAAUCUCCGGUGUUAUACCUUCCGAAAUAUCCCAUGCCACAAAUCUUGUGAAGCUUGAUCUCAGCAACAAUCAACUGACUGGUCCAAUACCUUCAGAGAUUGGAAGACUCCGACGACUAAACUUGCUUGUUCUGCAAGGAAACCACCUUGAUUCAUCAAUCCCUGAGACUGAGUCCCUUUUGUUUACAAUUUACUAAUUUAAUGUUUUUUAACACUGACUAUAUUAUAGCAAUCGCUCAUGGAAGGCUGUGAGCGAUGUCUAUCCGAGAAGAAAAAAACUCAAGCAAAAAAAAAUAUGUCGAGACAAGAGCGAGGUUCUUGGACAGGUGAUCGUGCACUCUUUAGUAUCAGAUUCAGUGAUAUUUCAACUCUUCUUUUGUGAUAAAAACAAGAAAUUAAAGUAAAGCUUCGGAGGUAUAAAGUUGGCUACAUACACCUCUACAUUAUUCUCCAUAAUAAGUUAGUGGGUAUAAUCAUAAAGCUUCUUUAUCUAAAGGAAACAUAUCUAUUCUCCCUUUCUUCAAUUAUAUUUAUUUAAAAAUCUAUCUUUUUCGUAAAAUCCAUCUAUCUGAUUCUGAUCGUAUACAGAAAAACUUGAACCCGUCUUUCGUUUUUAUAAGGUCGCAUUAAUUUCAGUCCUUCAACUCGUAAGCUCUUUUUAUUUCCCCUCAUUUAUCCUCCCAGACCCAAAAGUUCUCUCUUUCUUGCGUCCUAAGUUUGCUCCUGCUGCUUACUUUAGAGCUUUUCCUGAAAUGCUUUUCAGACUUUUCCCAGUUUUUGUUCUUCUCAUAUUUUGCUUCAACAGCAACCAAUUAUGGGGCUUGAUGACUUCCAACCAACAAUCACAAUUCUUCAAGCUUAUGAAAAACUCUCUUUCCAGCGAUGCUUUGUCCUCUUGGAAUCUUUCUGACGCCGUGACUUCUUACUACUGUAACUUCACGGGCGUAAGGUGCGACGGUCAAGGACUUGUCACCGAUCUUGAUCUUUCCGGUUUGUCACUCUCCGGGAUUUUUCCUGAUGGGAUUUGCUCUUUCCUCCCAAACCUUCGUGUUCUUCGUCUCUCUCGCAACCAUCUGAAUAGAAGCAGCAGCUUCCUCAACGACAUCCCUGACUGUUCUCUUCUUCAGGAGCUGAACAUGAGCUCUCUCUAUCUCACAGCCACACUCCCUGAUUUCUCACCGAUGAAAUCUCUGAGAGUCAUCGACAUGUCUUGGAACCACUUCACCGGUAGCUUCCCACUCUCGAUAUUCAAUCUCACCGAUUUACAGUAUCUCAAUUUCAACGAGAACCCUGAGUUCGAUCUCUGGACUCUACCGUAUUAUGUGUCCAAACUCACGAAGCUCACACACAUGCUCCUGAUGACGUGUAUGCUCCACGGUAACAUCCCAAGAUCCAUUGGGGAUAUGACUUCCCUUGUUGAUCUCGAACUAAGUGGAAAUUUCCUCUCCGGCGAGAUUCCAAAAGAAAUCGGGAAUCUUUCCAACCUGAGGCAGCUUGAGUUGUACUAUAACUAUCACUUAACCGGCAGUAUACCUGACGAAAUCGGUAAUCUCAAAAAUCUCACGGACUUGGAUAUUUCCGUCAGCAAGUUAACCGGAAGAAUACCGGAAUCAAUAUGCAGUCUUCCAAAACUCCGAGUGCUUCAGCUUUACAACAACAGCUUA
rnacentral:lncRNA from 1 species